rnacentral:rRNA from 1 species
UUAAGCUAGAAAGAGCGCAGGGUGGAUGCCUUGGCACUAAGAGCCGAUGAAAGACGUGAUAAGCUGCGAAAAGCUUCGGGGAGGAGCAAAUAUCCUUUGAUCCGGAGAUCUCUGAAUGGGGAAACCUACUUGAGUGCACCUCAAGUGACGUAUGGUGAAUACAUAGCCAUACGCCGGGAACCCGGUGAACUGAAACAUCUAAGUAGCCGGAGGAAGAGAAAGAAACAUCGAUUCCGAAAGUAGCGGCGAGCGAAAUUGGAAGAGCCCAAACCGGAAUGCGUGCAUUCCGGGGUUAAGGACCACGUUAUGUGACCCGUAUGGUAAUGGAACAGUCUGGGAAGUCAGACCAGAGAGGGUGAAAGUCCCGUACAUGAAACCAGAAGGGAGCUAGUGGGAUCCAGAGUACUGCGAGACACGUGGAACCUUGCAGGAAGUCGGGGGGACCACCCCCCAAGGCUAAAUACUCCUUAGUGACCGAUAGCGCAUAGUACUGUGAAGGAAAGGUGAAAAGGACCCCGGGAGGGGAGUGAAAGAGAACCUGAAACCCUGUGUUUACAAGCUGUGGAAGCACGUUAAGGUGCGACCGCGUACUUUUUGUAGAACGGUCCGGCGAGUUGCGGAUGCUGGCAAGGUUAAGCACUUUAGGUGCGGAGCCGAAGCGAGAGCAAGUCUGAAUAGGGCGUCAAGUCAGCAUGUGCAGACCCGAAACCGGGUGAUCUAUCCAUGUCCAGGUUGAAGCGAAAGUAAAAUUUCGUGGAGGACCGAACGCACAUCCGUUGAAAAGGGUGGCGAUGAGGUGUGGAUAGGGGAGAAAUUCCAAUCGAACCCGGAGAUAGCUGGUUCUCCUCGAAAUAGCUUUAGGGCUAGCCUCGUAUUAGUCUGGUGGAGGUAGAGCACUGAAUUUCCUAGGGGGCGUCAAAGCCUACCGAAGAAUAUCAAACUCCGAAUGCCAUACAGAUGAUGUACGGGAGUCAGACGGCACGAGAUAAGUUGGGUCGUCAAAAGGGAAAGAGCCCAGACCUGCAGCUAAGGUCCCAAAGUGUGUGUUAAGUGGAAAAGGAUGUGGGAUUUCAAAGACAACUAGGAUGUUGGCUCAGAAGCAGCCACACAUUCAAAGAGUGCGUAAUAGCUCACUAGUCGAGAGGUCCUGCGCCGAAAAUGUCCGGGGCUGAAACACAACACCGAAGCUCAGGAAUGUAUUUAUACAUUGGUAGAGGAGCAUUCUUAAAGGGGCGAAGCAGUACCGAUAAGGAGCUGUGGACUUUUAAGAAGAGAGAAUGCCGGAAUGAGUAGCGAGAUGGAGGUGGGAAUCCUCCAGGCCGAAUAUCUAAGGUUUCCAGGGUAAAGCUGAUCUGCCCUGGGUAAGUCGGGGCCUAAGGCAAGGCUGAGAAGCGUAGCUGAUGGACAACAGGUUUAGAUUCCUGUACCACAUGGUAUCAGAACUGUGGGGACGCAGAGGGAUAAGAUGACCGGGGGACAGAUUCCCGGGCAAGCGCAGGAGGUGUCAGGCAGGCAAAUCCGUCUGACAAGCCAAAGGCGUGACGCGGACCGAACUAAAGUAGGGAAGCAUCCGAUUCCAGCUGCCGAGAAAAGCCGCUAUUGUGUACCAUGUGCCCGUACCGUAAACCGACACAGGUGGAUGAGGAGAGAAUCCUAAGGCCGGCGGGAGAAGCAUUGUUAAGGAACUCGGCAAAAUGACCCCGUAACUUCGGGAUAAGGGGUGCCAGAGAGAUCUGGCCGCAGAGAAUAGGCUCAAGCAACUGUUUAGCAAAAACACAGGUCUAUGCGAAACCGUAAGGUGAUGUAUAUGGGCUGACGCCUGCCCGGUGCUGGAAGGUUAAGAGGAGAGGUUAGAGCAAUCGAAGCUUUGAAUUGAAGCCCCAGUAAACGGCGGCCGUAACUAUAACGGUCCUAAGGUAGCGAAAUUCCUUGUCGGGUAAGUUCCGACCCGCACGAAAGGCGUAAUGAUUUGAGCGCUGUCUCGACAAUGCACCC